rnacentral:rRNA from 1 species
AGAGUUUGAUCAUGGCUCAGAACGAACGCUGGCGGCGUGGAUAAGACAUGCAAGUCGGACGAGAUUUUCCGUUGUAGCAAUACGAUGGAAAGUCUAGUGGCGAACGGGUGCUUAACACGUGGGCAAUCUGUCUUAAAGUGGGGGAUAGCUCGGCGAAAGCCGAAUUAAUACCGCAUGUGAUUAGAGUGGACAUCCAUUCAAAAUUAAAGGUGGCGCAAGCUACCGCUUUUUGAGGAGCCCGCGGCCUAUCAGCUAGUUGGUGAGGUAACGGCUCACCAAGGCUUUGACGGGUAGCUGGUCUGAGAGGACGACCAGCCACACUGGGACUGAGACACGGCCCAGACACCUACGGGUGGCAGCAGUCGAGAAUUUUUCUCAAUGGGGGAAACCCUGAAGGAGCGACGCCGCGUGGAGGAUGAAGGUCUUCGGAUUGUAAACUCCUGUCAUUGGGGAACAAGGUGCAUACGUUAACUGCGUGUGCAUUGAUAGUACCCGAAGAGGAAGAGACGGCUAACUCUGUGCCAGCAGCCGCGGUAAUACAGAGGUCUCAAGCGUUGUUCGGAUUCAUUGGGCGUAAAGGGUGCGUAGGCGGCGCGGUAAGUCGGGUGUGAAAUCUUGGAGCUUAACUCCGAAACUGCAUUCGAUACUGCCGUGCUUGAGGACUGGAGAGGAGACUGGAAUUUACGGUGUAGCGGUGAAAUGCGUAGAUAUCGUAAGGAAGACCAGUGGCGAAGGCGGCGAGCUGGAUCACUACUGACGCUGAGGAACGAAAGCUAGGGGAGCAAACAGGAUUAGAUACCCUAGUAGUCC